rnacentral:lncRNA from 1 species
AUCUCUCUUCCUCCUUUACUCGAUUAAAAAAAAAAAACAUUCAGCUCUUAAAAAAAAAAUUCCGGCGAAACUUACUCUCCACACUCGCCGGCGCAUUCUUUGCCAUCUCCGGGAUCAUCUCCGUUUUCGUCGUCGCCGGCGAUUUCUUUGCCUUCUCUGUGGUCGGCGCCAUCGUGUCCAAAGUCACUUGAAUCUUCUUCAAUCACCGUCGUGACCACUCAUCUCAACCUCCCUUCCUUCUCCGCCACCAAAACCGCCAAGCUUGACUCGAAUGUGUCGUCGUUAACAGAGAACAUCAGCCACUGAACAAUAUCUCUUCAUUGUUUUUUAUCUAUAUUAUAUCUGUGGUGUAGCUUCUUAAUGGAAACCGAUGAAGGCAUCACGAACAUUAAUAAGGAGUAUCCGAAGCGCUUAUUCAGACAUGGUAGAGAGCCUCUUGUUGGAAAAGUCAACAACUUCUGCAAAACAGCUCUCCUCAAGAGAAUCAAGAAAGCUAUGCCACUAGAGUAUAAGGAAGUGAAGAGUGAUCCUCUGUUUGCACAUGUCUUUGCCAUAUUUGAAAACCGUUUAGGAUACUCUGUUUGCAUAGCUUACUGUCUAGACAGUUGGUAACUAGGAAGAAACAUGAACUCUGGUUUGUGUUUGGAAACAAGCCUCUUCGAUUUUCUAUGCAAAUACCAUGAGAUGCCAAUGGAUAGAUUUUUUCAAGCGAUUUAGUGAUCGAGAAAUGCCUAUCUGACACAAAAGCUAAGUCUUCUUCAUCCGCUAUGAGUUUCUUAAGUUGUAUAAAAAACCAUUGCCAUGAAGAAUCAUUCUCGGAAUCAGCAACUCCAAAUGCAAUUGGAUACAAAUUGGAGUUACCAUCUACUGCUGUAGCUACCAACAUAACUCCUUUGUAUUUGCUUUUCAAAAACGUACCGUCAACCACAAUCACUUUCCGAAUAGGCUUGUAAAACCCUCUAAUAGACUGACCGAAAGAUAUAAAUAGAUAUUUGAAUCUAUUCUCACCAUC